UACAGAGACUGCGAGCGUUAUUCGGAUUCACUGGGCGUAAAGGGUGCGCAGGCGGCCAAGUGUGUUAGGCGUGAAAGCCUGGGGCUUAACCUCAGAAUUGCACCUAAAACUACAUGGCUAGAGCAUUGGAGAGGGUAGCGGAAUUCACGGUGUAGCAGUGAAAUGCGUAGAUAUCGUGAGGAACACCAGAGGCGAAGGCGGCUACCUGGACAAUUGCUGACGCUCAGGCACGAAAGCGUGGGGAGCGAACAGG
rnacentral:rRNA from 1 species